rnacentral:rRNA from 1 species
UACGUAGGGGGCGAGCGUUGUCCGGAUUCAUUGGGCGUAAAGAGCUCGUAGGCGGCUUGGUUAGUUGGGUGUGAAACCUCCAGGCUUAACCUGGAGACGCCACUCAAUACUGCCAUGGCUAGAGUCCGGUAGGGGACCACGGAAUUCCUGGUGUAGCGGUGAAAUGCGCAGAUAUCAGGAGGAACAACGGUGGCGAAGGCGGUGGUGUGGGGAGGCACUGACGCUGAGGAGCGAAAGCGUGGGGAGCGAACAGG